AACCUGCCUUAUACAGGGGGAUAACAACCAGAAAUAGGUUGCUAAUACCGCAUAACCGCACAGGACCGCAUGGUCCGGUGUGAAAAACUCCGGUGGUAUAAGAUGGACCCGCGUUGGAUUAGCUAGUUGGCAGGGUAACGGCCUACCAAGGCGACGAUCCAUAGCCGGCCUGAGAGGGUGAACGGCCACAUUGGGACUGAGACACGGCCCAGACUCCUACGGGAGGCAGCAGUGGGGAAUAUUGCACAAUGGGGGAAACCCUGAUGCAGCGACGCCGCGUGAAGGAAGAAGUAUCUCGGUAUGUAAACUUCUAUCAGCAGGGAAGAUAGUGACGGUACCUGACUAAGAAGCCCCGGCUAACUACGUGCCAGCAGCCGCGGUAAUACGUAGGGGGCAAGCGUUAUCCGGAUUUACUGGGUGUAAAGGGAGCGUAGACGGACUGGCAAGUCUGAUGUGAAAGGCGGGGGCUCAACCCUUGGACUGCAUUGGAAACUGUUAGUCUUGAGUGCCGGAGAGGUAAGCGGAAUUCCUAGUGUAGCGGUGAAAUGCGUAGAUAUUAGGAGGAACACCAGUGGCGAAGGCGGCUUACUGGACGGUAACUGACGUUGAGGCUCGAAA
rnacentral:rRNA from 1 species